rnacentral:rRNA from 1 species
UACGUAGGGCGCAAGCGUUGUCCGGAAUUAUUGGGCGUAAAGAGCUCGUAGGCGGCUUGUCACGUCGGGUGUGAAAGCCCGGGGCUUAACCCCGGGUCUGCAUUCGAUACGGGCAGGCUAGAGUGUGGUAGGGGAGACUGGAAUUCCUGGUGUAGCGGUGAAAUGCGCAGAUAUCAGGAAGAACACCCGUGGCGAAGGCGGCUCUCUGGGACGGUACUGACGCUGAGACGCGAAAGCGUGGGGAGCGAACAGG